AAGACCUUGCGCUUUUGGAGCGGCCGAUGUCUGGUUAGCUAGUUGGUGGGGUAAUGGCCUACCAAAGCUUCGAUCAGUAGCUGGUCUGAGAGGACGGCCAGCCACACUGGGACUGAGACACGGCCCAGACUCCUACGGGAGGCAGCAGUGGGGAAUUUUGGACAAUGGGCGCAAGCCUGAUCCAGCUAUGCCGCGUGAGUGAAGAAGGCCUUCGGGUUGUAAAGCUCUUUCAGCCGGGAAGAAAAGGUUGCGAUUAAUAAUCGCAAUUGAUGACGGUACCGGAAGAAGAAGCACCGGCUAACUACGUGCCAGCAGCCGCGGUAAUACGUAGGGUGCGAGCGUUAAUCGGAAUUACUGGGCGUAAAGGGUGCGCAGGCGGUUUUGUAAGUCAGAUGUGAAAUCCCCGGGCUUAACCUGGGAACU
rnacentral:rRNA from 1 species